rnacentral:rRNA from 1 species
UACGUAGGGGGGCAAGCGUUGUCCGGAUUUAUUGGGCGUAAAGAGCGUGUAGGCGGCCUGAAAGGUCAGCUGUGAAAACUCGAGGCUCAACCUCGAGACGUCGGUUGAAACCAUCUGGCUAGAGUCCGGAAGAGGAGUGUGGAAUUCCCGGUGUAGCGGUGAAAUGCGCAGAUAUCGGGAAGAACACCCGUGGCGAAGGCGGGCACUCUGGGACGGUACUGACGCUGAGACGCGCAAAGCGUGGGAAGGCGAACGAGG